GUCUCUCGGCGGAUCAUCAGAUCCGCCAUCGCCAUGACGGCGACAUGGAGGAAGCCCGGUGCGAAUCCGGCGCGGUCCCGCCACUGUGAGUCAGGCCAGCACGAGGCCGGACGAGUCAGGAACUCCAGCCGUCCUGUACCACCCGGGG
rnacentral:ncRNA from 17 species